CGACUGACACUGCCUGUGGGCUGGCACUGCCUGUGCGACUGACACUGCCUGUGCGGCUGACACUCGUUUGGCCCGCUCGGGCGCGCAAGAUUGCGGGCGCCGAGGCACAAUGAAGGCAGCCCGUAACAGUCAUCGUAAGGAGCAUCAAGCAGAAGGGAAAAGCGGGAGGCAACGACCAUCUUGAAAUACCGUUUGCAUGUCCAAAGAGUGCCAAAGGAUCUCAUCAAGGACUUGGGGUGAUUAAGGGUCUAGCCUAUGGGCGACGGCCGCGUGCGGGCUACAAGUGUCAGUGCCUCACGUUCUCGAGCAAUAGUUGGAAUAUUGAGAGUUCGGAUGAAAGCCCCAUUCCUAGGAUUUUGUUGAAUAUGCUUACCAAGUUUGGCUCAAUUCCGAGAUCAUUCACCUAUAGGCUUGACUUAGCUAAUGGCUUUUGGAUCUGUUAGUGUCCUUGUUAUUCACAAUUUGUUUAUGCUAUCGGCUAAACUGUGUGGUCGUGCAAGAAUUUGGAGGAAAGCUUUGCCCUGUUUUACGGGUCUAACGUUUAGCGUAGACAAGUUAUGAUUCAAAUUACUGAACUAUGACCCUAACCGUGAGAAAGAGAUAUGUUUUUUAGCCAUGAAAAAUGCUAAAAGCCGUUCAAUUAAUAAGGAGCUCUACGUCAAUAUAUUAGCCCAUAAAAUAAUUUUGGUUAAUAAUCAUGGAUAAUGUUUAACGAUAGCUAAGCAAGAAACAAGGUAACACAGAGGAUGAGUCUUAAUAUUUGGCCAACUUCCCAAGUAAAAGCAACAGUUCAGUAAUACGAAUUAUAAUAGUAAAUUAUUAUCAAAAGCAACUCACACAACUGCUAAUCGGGUAUAGGAAAGUGAAUACGUAUUUAGUUGUGCCAACUAAAAAGCUUUGCGGCUACUCCAACAGAAUGAAUGUUUACAGAUUGAUGUACAAAUUCUCUGUGUGAGAUUUGUAAAUAUUUUAGCUAAUGUUUGCGAGUUUACUUUUUUUAAUCCCUAUAUGAUUCUCUGGCCAAAACAUGUCAUUUGGGGGCAUCCGAGUUUAUUGCUUUAGGGAAAAGGGCCAAAUUUACCCCUGAACUUUGGGGAGGUUCAUAUUUACCCCUAGAAACUUUAAGUUAUUACACGUACCCCCACUGUUAGUAUAGUAUACUCCCUUGCCCCUACCCCUAACGGCUGCCCAAUGGUGGCUUGCCACAUCAUUUAAUGAAGCCACCUGAGCAGCCAGUCAGCAUGCCACAUGGAUUCUGCCCGCCCCAAUUAUUUUGACCCGACCCACCCCAAAUUCACCCUAAAUAUACCAAAUACACCAUCAGACGCCCUAAAACACCCAAACGAUCCCACCAGAAAAAACACUAUGGCGGCGGCGGCUAGAAAGUGAAAGAGAAUCCCACCAGAGCUACUUCCUCUGAAAAGUUGUGUGUGCUGAAAAGUGUCAAUUCUUGCUUUGUUUAUUGAUGAUGGAAUAUUACUUUUGAUGGUGGAAAGUGUCAAUGUUUGUUUAUUGAGGGUAAAUAUUCCCUGAUCCCCUAUAACUUUAUUGUCCUUUGCUUUUUGUAGUCUAGCACAUGUUAAAGUUUGAUUUUUUAUUAUUGAUUUGAAUAAAAUCUGAAGUAUUUGUGCCUUUUUUUUAGUCUUUUAGUUGACUUGCUAGUUUCCAUGUUAUGCUUGUGGUUUCUUUAUUGCUAAAUGAUGAAAAUUAUUUUAAGCAUUGGUACUUUCUAACUUUUUUGUUUCUUGUAUGCUUAUACUUUACUUUUCUGUACUAUCUUAUUUUUUAUUCCACUUGUCCCCUGAUGUACCUUAAUGGAUUUGUUAAUAUCAUGUUUACUGUUUUAUUAGUUCUAAGUGUUUGUUUGUUAGUUCAGAUUUUUUUUCUUUAUUCACAUAGUUUAGUACCUACUUGUCAAAGUUUGUCUUCUUGCUAAUUUUUUUUACUUAUCUAGUGCCCUUCUGUACACUUAUGGCCUUCUAAGUUUAUAAUAUUAUGGUUUCUUUAUGCAUUCACUAUAGUCCCAGUGUUCAAUAUUUUUUGUUGCUUUAUGUAUAAUUGUUUAUCUUUUUUAAUUAGUCACAUGUAUUUUUGUCUUUUGUUUUACAGUUUACAACAAUGGUUAAUGUGCAUUUGAAGUUUCAUUAUGGUGGACAGUGGGUAUUAGAGCCACAAGUACAUUACAUAGACUAUCUUGUUCACAGUAAGAAACAAUAUGACUUUGACUUGCUUUGUUUAUCUGAUUCAAUGACUGAAUAUAAUUCUAACCUUGGGUAUAUUGGGGUGCAACAACUCAUAGUGAAAGCUCCUUCUGGUAGAUACUAUGAAGUAGAAGAGGAUAAUGGGAUUAGAACUUUGUUGAUUUUAUUAGCCUACAUUAUAAUGUUAUCAAUAUUUUUGUUGUACAAGAGUCUGAAUUAGGUAAUGUUGUACCUAGUGUAACCCAGCAUAAUGAGUUGAUCCUAGAUGAUUAUGAUGAUACCUCUGAACUUAAAGCUGCCUCUGAAUAUGCUUUAGAAGGUAGUGAUUUUGAUGGAAUGGAAUCUCCAGAUUCUGAUAGGUUAGAGUCACUUUUUAAACAAAAGAAGGGGGAUGUUAAUGAAAAGUUGACAGACUAUAUAGAGUUGGAUGAAUCCAUGACAUUCAAAAACAUCCCUGAAGCUAGGAAAGUAAUCAACAUGUAUGCUCUUGCAAAUGGCUAUGUGUUAGAACAACUUAAAAGUGACACUGUUAGGCUUAGGUAUAUAUGUAAAGGGGACUGUCCUUUUGUAUGCCAUAUAUCUAAGGAUAAUUUAGGGGGUGGGUUUACUUUCAAAACCUUAGUUACUAAGCACAAUUGUCAGACUGCGUUUGAGAAUCAUAAAGUUGAUUCUAAUACAAUAGUUGCAUACUUUAAGAGAGGGUUACAAGAUAAUCCAAAGAUUAAGAUUAAAGAUAUGAGGCAAGCUUGAAAACUGCCUUUAAUGUUAGUGACUUAAAGUGUAAGAGGGCCAAGAGAAUGAUUUUGGAGAAGCUUGAUGGCAGUUUUAAUGAUGAAUACAACAAGCUUGUGGCUUAUGCCAAUGAACUGAAAUUGAGUAAUCCUGGAAGUGAUGUCAUAAUUAACUUAUUAAAUGAUGCUCUUGCUGAAGGAAAAAGAAGGUUUUUAAGGAUGUAUAUUUGUUUUGAUGCAAUGAAGAGAGGGUUUAAGAGUGGGUUGAGACCUUUUAUAGGCUUAGAUGGGACUUUUUUUUUAAAGGAAAGUGUAAAGGUCAGCUUUUAGUGGCAGUUGCUCAGGACUCUGCACACCACUUUUAUCCAUUAGCUUGGGCAGUUGUGGACAAAGAAAUAAAAAUGUCCUGGAAUUGGUUCUUAAUUCAGCUACAAAUGUCUUUGGACCUUGGAAUGGGUGGUGGAAUCACUCUUAUAUCAGUUAUGCAGAAGGGUUAAUUGAUGCAAUCCAGAAAGUUCUACCUGAGGCGUACUACAGGUUUUGUGUUAAGCACAUAGAAGCAAAUUGGACAAAGAAAUAUGGGUUUGGGUGUACAAGAAGUAUCUUUGGUGGGCUGCUUGGAGUUCAUAUGAAGAGGAUUACCCAGAUCAGCUAGAUAGUAUGAAGCUAGUGGAUGAUGAUGGUAAGGUUGUCAUUGAUGAUCUUUUGAAAUAUCCACCAGAAAAAUGGAGUAGGGCAUUCUUUGAUACUAUUUGCAAGAACCAGUCAGUGGACAAUAACCUGACGGAAUGCUUCAAUGGUUGGAUACUGGAAGUUAGACACAAGCGAAUCAUAAAGAUGCUUGAGGAAAUUAGACUUAAGGUGAUGAACAUGUUGAAUGACAAUGAAGCUGCUGCUACUGGUUGGGGUAUGAACUACAGUCGAAAGACCAUUCUUCUGUAUAACCAGUUCAUGAGAAUCGCACAAAAAUGUCAUGUCAAUGGAGGUGCAGACAAUGGGUUUGAGGUGGCUGAAGGUGGUGACAGACACAUUGUGAAUAUAGGGUUAAGAAAAUGCACUUGCAGGACAUGGGACCUUUGUGGAAUCCCAUGUCCUCAUGCAGUUUGUGCCCUGCUGUACAAGAAGCUUGACCCUCUAGAUUAUGUGCACUGGUAUUUGUCCAAAGGAGCAUAUCAUAUUCACUUAUUCUCAUAGGUUACAACCAGUUAGAGGAGAGAAAUUAUGGAGAAUUCACCCCUCACAGUACAUAGAGCCACCAAAUAUAGUAAGAAUGUCUGGAAGGCCAAAGGUUAAGAGGACAAGAGAAAAGAAUGAAGUUGUUAGUAGGCAAGGAUAUUGGUCUCAAACCAGAAAAGGGAGGUUUAUGACAUCCUGGACAUAAUACUAGAGGAUGUGACAAGCAUUCUAAAGGAAAGAAGUGUAGUUGAUGAACAGACCCCAGCUGGUACAAAACUGGGGCAGUGCAGUUCACAACCAAACUUUUUCAAAGCAGAACCAGUUCUCAGGCAGUCCAGUUCAUAGACCAAAACUUCAUAUGCUACAACAAAAAGACAGUGUAGUUCACAGCCCAUUGAGUAUCCAGACUCUGAGGCUGAUGAAAACAUUGCUAUAAGGUCAAAAAGGUUUUCAGAGGAAAGGACUAAAUUCCAGUUGAGGCAAUUGCAAAGUACACCAGCUGCAACCAGGCAGAUUGGAUUUGUUGGUGAUGCAAGUGUGUGAGUGUGCCCUCAAAUAUGAGUACCUCACCAAAGCUGAAAUGGGAAGGAAACACUGCCAUAAUUAGACAUCAGUUAAACCAAUAAAGAUUGGCCAAGUUGCAAGCAAUGAGGGGUAAAGACAAGCAGCAAGUGUAAUUGAAGUUGAAUGUUUUUUUUUUUUUUUGGUUUGUGUUGUUAUUACUGCCUAGACAGUACACUUAAUAUUUUGGUUGUGGUUGUUAUGGGGUUUUAAGACUUAUUUUGGUGGUUGUAAAAGUUGGAUGCCAUGUUAUGACUAGGUCUUGGUUUGUUUUUGGGGUUAUAAUGUGGCAUCCUAUCUUUCCCUAUUUAAUGUAGUUUGACUGUUAUGGAUUGACAUCUUGUUUGAUUGUUAUGGUUGGUAUGUAUUGAUAGUUUGUUCUACUGUUAUGGUUAAUGUAUGAUGAAUGUAGUUUCUCCAGCUUUAAUUUUUUUGCAGUUUCUAGGUCCAAAAUGUGCAGUUUAUAGGUCCAAAAUGUGCAUCUUGUGCACAAAAUUUGCAGUUUCUGCAAAAAAUGUGCAUUGUAUGCACAAAAUGGUAUUGAAUGGUAGUCAACACUUUGAAU